AGAGGGUGCAAGCGUUAAUCGGAAUUACUGGGCGUAAAGGGCGUGUAGGUGGUUUGCUAAGUUGGCUGUGAAAGCCCCGGGCUUAACCUGGGAGGGUCAGCCAAAACUAUCAGACUAGAGUACGGUAGAGGGUAGUGGAAUUUCCGGUGUAGCGGUGAAAUGCGUAGAUAUCGGAAGGAACACCAGUGGCGAAGGCGACUACCUGGACUGAUACUGACACUGAGGCGCGAAAGCGUGGGGAGCGAACAGGAUUAGAUACCCUGGUAGUCCACGCCGUAAACGAUGAGAACUAGCCGUUGGAAACGUAAGUUUUUAGUGGCGCAGCUAACGCGAUAAGUUCUCCGCCUGGGGAGUACGGCCGCAAGGCUA
rnacentral:rRNA from 1 species